rnacentral:tRNA from 1 species
CGCUAGGAAGCUGAAUACGGGGAAUAGCGUUAGCCUUUUAAGCUAAAGAUUGGUGGCUCCCUACCACCUCUAGUGA